GGUAGCGUGGCCGAGCGGUCUAAGGCGCUGGUUUUAGGCACCAGUAAUUCCGAUGGCGUGGGUUCGAAUCCCACCGCUGCCA
rfam:Ciona savignyi cont_9954, whole genome shotgun sequence.